rnacentral:tRNA from 1 species
GCCUGGGUGGCUCAGUCGGAUGAGCAUCUGAUUUCGGCUCAGGUUAUGAUCUCCCGGUUCAUGGGUUUGAGCCCCGAGUCAGGCU